AAUCAACGCUGGCGGCGUGCCUCAGACAUGCAAGUCGAACGCGAAAUUUCCCUUCGGGGAGAAAGUAGAGUGGCGCACGGGUGAGUAACACGUAGGUAAUUUGCCUUUGGGUGGGGAAUAACUCAGGGAAACUUGAGCUAAUACCGCAUAAUGCAGCGGCUCGACAUCGAGACAGUUGUUAAAGCGGGGGAUUGGAGCAAUCCGACCUCGCGCCUAAAGAGAAGCCUGCGGCAGAUUAGCUAGUUGGUAAGGUAAUGGCUUACCAAGGCGACGAUCUGUAACCGGCCUGAGAGGGCGGUCGGUCACACUGACACUGACAUACGGGUCAGACUCCUACGGAGGCAGCAGUCGGGAAUUUUGGGCAAUGGGCGCAAGCCUGACCCAGCAACGCCGCGUGAAGGAUGAAAUUUUUCGGAAUGUAAACUUCGCAAGAACAGGAAGAAUAAGUGUGGGACAAUACCCACAUGAUGACGGUACUGUUUGUAAGCUCCGGCUAACUCCGUGCCA
rnacentral:rRNA from 1 species